CCUACGGGAGGCAGCAGUGGGGAAUAUUGGGCAAUGGGCGCAAGCCUGACCCAGCAACGCCGCGUGAGCGAUGAAGGUCUUCGGAUUGUAAAGCUCUGUCGCAGGGGACGAAGUAUGACGGUACCCUGUAAGAAAGCCCCGGCAAACUACGUGCCAGCAGCCGCGGUAAUACGUAGGGGGCUAGCGUUGUCCGGAAUUACUGGGCGUAAAGGGAGUGUAGACGGCUUGUCAAGUUAAGUGUGAAAGCCUGCGGCUUAACCGUAGAAUUGCACUUAAAACUGACUCGCUAGAGUGCAGGAGAGGUAAGCGGAAUUCCUGGUGUAGCGGUGAAAUGCGUAGAUAUCAGGAGGAACACCGGUGGCGAAGGCGGCUUACUGGACAGUGACUGACGUUGAGGCUCGAAAGCGUGGGGAGCGAACAGGAUUAGAUACCCGUGUAGUC
rnacentral:rRNA from 1 species